UACGGGGGGGGCAAGCGUUGUUCGGAAUUACUGGGCGUAAAGGGCUCGUAGGCGGCCAACUAAGUCAGACGUGAAAUCCCCAGGCUCAACCUGGGAACUGCGUCUGAUACUGGAUGGCUUGAAUCCGGGAGAGGGAUGCGGAAUUCCAGGUGUAGCGGUGAAAUGCGUAGAUAUCUGGAGGAACACCGGUGGCGAAGGCGGCAUCCUGGACCGGCAUUGACGCUGAGGCGCGAAAGCCAGGGGAGCAAAGCGGGG
rnacentral:rRNA from 1 species